rfam:Brachypodium distachyon strain Bd21 chromosome 3, whole genome shotgun sequence.
CAUAUACUCCCUCCGUCCAACAAAAGAUGUCUCAAGUUUGUCAAAAUUUGGAUGUAUAGAUGCAUUCAAAUUUAGUCAAACUUGAGACAUCCUUUGUUGGAUGGAGGAAGUGCUAA